AGUGUCGCGCCGGGUAGGAGCGGAGUGCAUUGAUGUUGCAAAAUACGGGGUCAUAGCGCCUCCGACACUU
rnacentral:tRNA from 1 species